UUGAAACGCACACUUUGAACUGACCCUACCCUCGUUAAACUUAUAUACCUCGUAACAUUAUUGUUGGGAAAUUAAAGAUUAAUAAAGCAUGUUAUACGCGUGCUUGCAAACAAUCGAAAGUUGGUAAGCAUAUUUUCCAAUACCAAAUUACUGCUGCAUACAACUUAGGUUUGCAUUUACUGGAAAGACUCCGAACCAAAUAUCUGAAACCCAAACAUAAACUAAUGCGCUUUUUCUAGCUAGCAAGACCUUCAAAGAAGGAUUAAAGG